AUUGAACGCUGGCGGCAGGCCUAACACAUGCAAGUCGAACGAGUGGCGGACGGGGGUGUAAUGCUUGGGAAUCCGGCUUAUGGAGGGGAAUAACUACGGGAAACUGUAGCUAAUCACGCGUACCAUAGGAGGCGCCCACGGGGGAUUAGGUAGUGGGUAAGGUAAAGGCUCACCAAGGCGACGAUCUCUAGCUGGUCUGAGAGGAUGACCAGCCACAUUGGGACUGAGACACGGCCCAGACUCCUACGGGAGGCAGCAGUGGGGAAUAUUGCACAAUGGGCGCAAGCCUGACGCAGCCAUGCCGCGUGAAUGAUGAAGGCCUUCGGGUUGUAAAGUUCUUUCGUUAGCGAGGCGUUAACUACAGAGGAAGCCCCGGCUAACUCCGUGCCAGCAGCCGCGGUAAUAC
rnacentral:rRNA from 1 species